UUGGGGGUGCCGCUCCCCGGGCCUGGCACUCUGGCAGCACCGGUGGGCCCAAACCGUGGCAUCACUGGGGUCUCCCUGGGGGUUCUGAUGCUCCAGAUCCACCUGGAAGGGUGGAAAGGUGGGGCCACUGCGCCCCUUACCCUCACCCUCUGAACCACCAGGCCAGCUCAUCCAAAUGUGCGAAGAGCCAUUUCAAGCUGCUUCUCCGCUCCCCUGACCUCCACUCCCUUCCCACCCACUCAGCUCCGAGCUGGGGGAAGGCAGGAGAGUGUCCUGCACGGGCACCACUGCCUGCACCCCCACAGCGACCCUGGGGAGGUGGGGGUGCAGGCCCCAGGGCCCGUGGCAAUGGCAGCAGUCGAGGGACCAGCACUGAUUUAUAGCACUGUUCCCAUGCCAGGAGCUGGGCCCCUUGGCCAGGCCUGGAGUGACGUGGCCGUGGGGAGGCUGCAAAGCUCCGUCAUGAAGCCAUUUAGCAACAGGCCGUGAUCGAACGGCCCUGAUGGAAGGCACAGAGGGGAGGGGAGGGGAGGGGGCUGCAGUCACCCGAGGGCCACCCUGCAUUGACCAUGAAGGCAGACACAGCAGUGGCAGCAGCUCGGGUGAGGACGGCCAGAAAUCUGUGCAGCUGAGGAGCCACAUGCCCAGCACAGGGUUGGAACCCUGCUCAGAUCCUGGCACCCAGGGGCUGCUCCUGCCCUGCCCCACGGUGUGGCUGCCUCCCCCCACUGCUGCUGCUGCUGCAUUGCCCCAUCACCCACCCCAUUCCUUCCCCACGAUCCCACUGCCGGCACGGCCCCGGGCACGGCCACUGCCCGGGGAGGGGAUGGGGACGGGGGGAGGUGGGGGGAGGAGAUGGCAGCCCCAGGCUCCCGAAAACGCAGAUGCAUUAGAGCAAGUGGAGCUGCCUGAUUGAUUCUCUGGGCUGAGACGUGGGCUGGGAGUGCCAGGAGAAAAUGGAUCCCAUGAAUAUUUGAUGAACGGAGGCUUGGGGAGGGAGUUUGAUUGGAAAAUUACAGAUCUUUCAAACAGUG